rnacentral:lncRNA from 1 species
UGAGUGUAUUCUUUAUCAUUUUUAGGGGAUCUCCGAUCUCCUGGAAAUCAAAGAAACAAGCUUCAAUUUCUCUCUCCUCUGCCGAGGCAAAAUAUUGAUUAAUGAGGAAAAUGAUAGCCUAAAGGAAGGCUAAACAUGAAAUGGACACUUUAAUGGCAAAAAUCAGCAAGCACAUAAAGAGGAAAACAAUACACUAGAAGGAGAUGAAGAAGAAGAUUGCUAGAAAAGUAAAGAUAGGUAGAAAUACUCUUACUUUUAUCAAAUGAUUAGCACAAGAAGGUGUCUCAAACCUUCAAACACACCUCACCAAUAGAAGCUCAAACCUUCCUCUUAGGUGGAUCAAAGGACUCACAUUUUCUCAGUCACACCUUUCUUUCUAAAUAACCCAAUACAAGUGAAAACCAAUUCAAAUGCAUUCAAGGUUCAAAUUUCGAUUUUUCUCUCUUAAGGAGAAGGAGAAGACUACAAUUUAACACUAAGAUUACAAUCUAAAAAGUCACUCAAUUCAUUAUCUCAAAACUAAUGAAAAUAGAAGGCUACUUGUCUAUUUAUACUUAUUACAAACAAUGACAAAAAUACCCUUAAUGAAGAGUGCUCCUUUGGAGUGUAAAAAAAAGUCAUUAAAAGACAAGAAUGCCCUUAAUGAACCCCCAAAUAGAGACGUCUUUGGAGUGUAUUUCAAAGCUCCUCUUUACACUUUAGCAUAUGCACUUCAAUAAGUGAACUCAUGACACAAUCACAAGCUUCCAACUUCAUAAACAUUGCUUGAAGACCAUGUAACUCUUUGGAUUGAUUCCUUGCGAAAGGUUUUGUGCUCUUGGUGCUUCUCAUGCUUGUAUCAGAAAGUUACUGUAGAACUUACCUGGCUCAUUCGUUACUAAAAGAUCUAUCUGUUUCUCCAUCUUUGUCGGUGCCUAUUUACUUUGAUAGUCAAGCCGUAAUUCACAUUGCCCACAACCCCAUUUUCCAUGAGCGAACAAAGUAUAUGGAACUUGACUGUCACUUUGUGAGGCAACAAUAUCUCGCCGGGUUUAUUUCCUUAUAGUUUGUACCAUCAAAAGAUCAACUAGCCGACCUGUUCACCAAACCUCUUUUUAGAGUUUCUCACCAUGGCAUUUUAUCCAAGUUGGGGGUUUUGUCUUUCCCCUCCAACUUAAGAGGGAUGUUGAGAACAAUGAGAAACAUAUUGCAACAGAAGCUUCGCUAUCUAUUAGUUACAGAAUGAAGAAGAAGAAAUUAGAGAUUUCAGACAAAUGGGGAAAGUAGUUUGAUGAGUACUAAGUCUAGAUAUA